UACGGAGGGUGCAAACGUUGCUCGGAAUCAUUGGGCGUAAAGCGCACGUAGGCGGUCCAGCAAGUCGGGUGUGAAAGCCCUCGGCUCAACCGGGGAAGUGCAUUCGAAACUGCUGAACUUGAGUAUGGAAGAGGGUCGCGGAAUUCCCGGUGUAGAGGUGAAAUUCGUAGAUAUCGGGAGGAACACCAGUGGCGAAGGCGGCGACCUGGGCCAAUACUGACGCUGAGGUGCGAAAGCGUGGGGAGCAAACAGG
rnacentral:rRNA from 1 species